rnacentral:lncRNA from 1 species
CUGACAGGCUCUUAAUAUUCACAAGUUCAAUGUUCAGAUGCAUGUAAAGGGUUAGCCUCUUUAAAAUUUAACUAAAUCAUACCCGAGAUGAAAAUUGGGAUACAGUCAAAUCAACUCAACUUGAGCACGCUUAAAAUGAAAAUACAUAGUAGUCUCUUGUGUUUAGGAAUGACAAUUAAGCUUGUCGACUCGAGCUGCCAAUGGCUCGGCUUAGCUUGAGGCUCAGGGCGCGUCUCGGGGUAUCAGGCCGAGCCCUAGCUGGCCCGUGUGAUUUCCCAGCUUGGGUUCACAGGCCUAAAAAAAAAAAAAAUCCAACACGCAGCGUGCUGCUGCUUUUUUAAGGUGACACUUGCAAUGUGUUGCCUUUUUUACGUAGCAUAAUAUUAUAAUAAUAAAAGGAUCUCGGCUCGGUAAGGCCCUGAGUUGGAAGCUUGGGCUGAGCCUUGAUUUCUUGGCCGAGCGAAAGUUCGACUUGAGCUCGCAAAAAAGUUCGGAACAUUUUACUCGAGUCGAACUCGAACCUAAUGAUAUACAAAUACCAUUUGGUAUUGGUUGAUGUACCUGCACAAAAACAAAAGAUUUAAAGAAAAUGACACCGACAGUGAAAUAUCACAGGAAGGAUUUAAAGUGAUUUUGAAAUUUCAAGUUCUUUGAAUUUGACAAUUGAAUCAAAACAGAAGGCAGGGUCCACACGCAAAUGUCCAGACCUACCUAACAUAUCGGGCAUGUGCUAGGCGCGCGCCAUCGGCUCUUCUUCGUAUUCACCUAACGUUAGAUGAACCUCUGUAGUUAGGUUUCAAUAAUUUGGGUAUUAUUAUAAAUCUGUGAAUAAUUAGUUGCAGAGAUUCACUUUCAAUGCAUUUGGAAAGUAUUUAUUUAU